rnacentral:tRNA from 1 species
GUCAUUGUAGUAUAGUGGUGAGUAUUCCCGCCUGUCAUGCGGGUGACCCGGGUUCGUUCCCCGGAAAGGGCA